GACGGGGGGGGCAAGUGUUCUUCGGAAUUACUGGGCGUAAAGCGCACGUAGGCGGCUUUGUAAGUUAGAGGUGAAAGCCUGGAGCUCAACUCCAGAAUUGCCUUUAAGACUGCAUCGCUUGAAUCCAGGAGAGGUGAGUGGAAUUCCGAGUGUAGAGGUGAAAUUCGUAGAUAUUCGGCGGAACACCAGUGGCGAAGGCGACUCACUGGCCCGAUACUGACGCUGAGGCGCGAAAGCGUGGGGAGCAAACAGG
rnacentral:rRNA from 1 species